ensembl:lncRNA
CCUAACUGUAACCUUAGCAAGCAGUUGCUUAUCGACAGAUAGUCAACACUGUAUCGAAAUGUGGGGGGGGUCGGCAUGGGCAGUUAGGGAAGGCAUGGGCAGUUAUGGAAGGCAUGGGCAGUUAUGGAAGGCAUGGGCAGUUAUGGAAGACAUGGGCAGUUAUGGAAGGCAUGGGCAGUUAUGGAAGACAUGGGCAGUUAUGGAAGACAUGGGCAGUUAUGGAAGGCAUGGGCAGUUAUGGAAGGCAUGGGCAGUUAUGGAAGACAUGGGCAGUUAUGGAAGGCAUGGGCAGUUAUGGAAGGCAUAGGCAGUUAUGGAAGGCAUGGGCAGUUAUGGAAGACAUGGGCAGUUAUGGAAGGCAUGGGCAGUUAUGGAAGGCAUGGGCAGUUAUGGAAGGCAUGGGCAGUUAUGGAAGGCAUGGGCAGUUAUGGAAGACAUGGGCAGUUAUGGAAGACAUGGGCAGUUAUGGAAGACAUGGGCAGUUAUGGAAGGCAUAGGCAGUUAUGGAAGGCAUGGGCAGUUAUGGAAGACAUGGGCAGUUAUGGAAGGCAUGGGCAGUUAUGGAAGGCAUGGGCAGUUAUGGAAGGCAUGGGCAGUUAUGGAAGGCAUGGGCAGUUAUGGAAGGCAUAGGCAGUUAUGGAAGACAUGGGCAGUUAUGGAAGACAUGGGCAGUUAUGGAAGACAUGGACAGUUAUGGAAGGCAUGGGCAGUUAUGGAAGACAUGGGCAGUUUUUCGGAUGACGGACAAGGCUUUGAGCUAGUCUUUGUAACUGUGGGCCCUUGCAUGUGUCUGACUGAGGACUCAGAGCAUAGCAGACACAGGAGAAGUCUGUGUUCCUGGAGUCAUGGAAGGCUUAAAAAGGCAGGGCCCAGUUUUCCACACCACUGAAUGCAGAGGCCCACCCCACUCCCGACCAGCCAUAGACACCAAUGCAGCUGUGGCGUCUGGGAGCCAAAUCUCCGAAAACCACAUGAAAAAUAUGAACAUUUUCUCCUGGUGCCUAAGUUAGAAUGGCUGAUAUUAAAUGAUAGCGAUACUACAUAGGGAGAAGAAGAAGACGUUGGAUUGAUGGUCAGACAUUUGAAGGUGGUAGUAUUGGGCUUGAUGUGUCCUGCAGUUGAAGCAGUAUAAUGUAUUUUUGAGGUAUGUUACCUCAUGAACGGUGGGACCGGACCAACACAGCUGGAAACAUGAUGCUGUAUAUGCAUGUGCAGAGGCCACAGAACUAUACUGUCCUCUUUGGAGAUGUCAGUUGGUGGAAAUGUCAAUAUUCCACCUACCAUCUCUUCACUAAACAAGAAAAGCCAUGUCGUCUGUAUGAGUAAGCCAUCAAUUAC